UAAUACGGAGGGUGCAAGCGUUAUCCGGAUUCACUGGGUUUAAAGGGUGCGUAGGCGGGUUGGUAAGUCCGUGGUGAAAUCCCCAAGCUUAACUUGGGAACUGCCGUGGAUACUAUCAAUCUUGAAUAUCGUGGAGGUAAGCGGAAUAUGUCAUGUAGCGGUGAAAUGCUUAGAUAUGACAUAGAACACCAAUUGCGUAGGCAGCUUACUACACGAUCAUUGACGCUGAGGCACGAAAGCGUGGGGAGCAAACAGGAUUAGAUACCCUGGUAGUCCACGCCCUAAACGAUGGAUACUCGACAUCAGCGAUACACUGUUGGUGUCUGAGCGAAAGCAUUAAGUAUCCCACCUGGGAAGUACGAUCGCAAGAUUG
rnacentral:rRNA from 1 species